rnacentral:rRNA from 1 species
UCCUACGGGAGGCAGCAGUGAGGAAUAUUGGUCAAUGGAGGCAACUCUGAACCAGCCAUGCCGCGUGAAGGAUGACGGCCCUAUGGGUUGUAAACUUCUUUUAUAGAGGAAGAAACUUGUCUACGUGUAGAUAACUGACGGUACUCUACGAAUAAGGAUCGGCUAACUCCGUGCCAGCAGCCGCGGUAAUACGGAGGAUCCAAGCGUUAUCCGGAUUCAUUGGGUUUAAAGGGUCCGUAGGCGGGUUUUUAAGUCAGUGGUGAAAGCCGACAGCUCAACUGUCGAACUGCCAUUGAUACUGGAGACCUUGAGUACAAAUGAAGUAGGCGGAAUGAGUCAUGUAGCGGUGAAAUGUAUAGAUAUGACUCAGAACACCGAUUGCGAAGGCAGCUUACUAACAUGUAACUGACGCUGAGGGACGAAAGCGUGGGGAGCGAACAGGAUUAGAUACCCUGGUAGUCCACGCCGUAAACGAUCAUCACUCGCUGUUGGCGAUAUACUGUCAGCGGCCAAGCGAAAGUA